AUGGCGGUACCCGCGGUGCACAAGUGUCUGCAACUCAGUGAUGAAAAUGAACAACUACUUAAGAAGCUGAAAAAGCUGCACAGGAAAAAUAAACAGCUAGAAAGUGAUUUGGCUCAGAUUCAGGAGAAAUUACAUCUGCAGCAGUUAAUGCAUGACUAUGUCACAAGCAGAGAUGUUCAGGUUCAAACAGAAGCCUACUUAUGGCAUACGAUGAGUGGCAUUCCCAAAAAGGAACUCAGACGGGCAGGGGAAAGUGCUAGACUACUUCAGAUGUAUGAUAGUCUACAGAAGCAUUAUGAUAAAGAAAUAAAAAUAAACCAGGAACAAAGUGAAACAAUUAGAAAUCUCACAGUUAAAAUUAAUGAGCUAGAACAACAACUUCAAGGGCAAAAACAAAGAAUUGAGCAGCUAGCAUUUAAAAAGCUCUCUAAAAAAGAUAGCAGUAUUUCUGGAAAAAGGACCGCAACUGCAGAGGGAGAAGUGACAUCUUGUAGAUGCAUAUGCAAAAAGAUGGGAGGUUGUUCCUGCAAAUACAUAGAUAUUUUACUAUUUGAAAUUCAGAAGCUGAAGAAAGAAAAUGAAAAGUUGUCUACAGAAAGGAGAAUGCUCAGAAAUGAAUUAGCUGGGCUAGACAAGGAGUUUUUUGAUGAGAUAGAAGAUUUAAAGCAUGCUCUGCAAGAAUCAGUUAAACUGAAUAAUCAGUAUGAAAAGUGCUUGAAACGAAUCAGUGCAACAUAUGGACUUGCUUUUACUUCAUAUUCUGUAACGUAG
rnacentral:lncRNA from 1 species